rnacentral:lncRNA from 1 species
GGGACCUAUUAAAUCAAUAGGUUCCACUUCCCACAACACCUCUGCCACCAACCAAUUGAGGGUCUUCAGGAGAAGUGUUCUUAUCUGUGCAAUAGAGCCUGCCAGAAGGGGCACCUGGCAACCCUCUUCAGAGGCUUGAUCCUGUGCUGCAGAAACCUAUGGACCUGCUCAACCUGUGCACUGGAAUUCCAGGGAUAGACUGAGCUGUCCCUAGGAGGCUGGGAGCAUUCUCCAGCAGAGACCAGCAACUGCCUCCUGCCUGGAGAAUCUGGAAGGAGGAAGGGCGGCUGGAAUCACCUGUGAUGACUCCAGUGUGUCAGAGAAGACAGGAAGACCAAGAAACAGCCAAGGAGAGGGGCUGAGGAAUGAGAGAUGGAGGAGACAACAGAUUGUCCUUCCCAUUGCCAAACCUUAGGCCGGGCCUGAGGGGAUCAGACUGGGCAAUUGAAUCCUCAAAGGUUCCUGGAAGGACUACUUAGGAAUUGAAUGUGCUGAGACUUCCUCUCAAAGGAGCCCCUCCUUCUUAAAUGAAUCCAGGAGAGAAGUUCUGAAGACUGUGGUCUAUGCUAAAGGAAUGCAGAUAUUUAUAAAUGGUCAUCUGCAUUGAAUGAACCAAGUCCAAAUGACAAUCAAGGAGAACUGUAAACAUAGGAAAAGAGGGCUGAACCCAUGCUUCCAGGGAAGGAAGAAGAGAGAGAGAAAGAGAAGAGAAGAGAGAGAGAGAGAGACUGACUUCUGGAAUCAAUCAAGGGAAGUCUGGAAAUGGUGGAUGAAUGGAACAGAAAUCCCCAAGCCAAGUGUGAACAGGACUCAGACUUGUGUACACAUGGAGAAUAGCGUCUGGCGCCAAGAACGCAGAGCGGCUGAGAACUGGUGUUUCUCCUCUUAGGAAAGAAAAUGACAGGGAAAGGAAGAAAAAUAGGAAAGAAGAAAGGAAGAGAGAGAAGAAGGAAAAAAAGAGGGAGGGAGGGAAGGAAAGGGUAGGGAAGGAAGGAAAGAGGAAAAGAAGGAGGAAGAGGAAGAGAUGGAGAGAAGAAAGAAAGGAAGGAAAAGGGAGGGAAGAAAAGGAAAAGAGGGAGGAAGGGAGAAAUGGAAGAAGGGAAAGAAGGAAAAGAAGGAGGAAGAGGAAGAGAUGGAGAGAAGAAAGGAAGGAAGGAAAAGGGAGAGAAGAAAAAGAAAAGAGGGAGGAAGGGAGAAAAGGAAGAAGGGAAAGAAGGAAAAAAGGAAGAAGAGAGGAAUGGAAGGAAGAAGGGAAGGGAAAGAGGGAGACAGGUAAAGAGGGAGGGAGGGAAAUAAGGAAGAGGGAGAAAGAGGGAGAAAGGGGGGAGGAGCAAAGGACGGAAGAAGGAAGGAAAGAAGAAGGGAGGGAAGGGAAAAUAGAGGAAAUGAAGGACGGCACAGGGAAGGGGAAAAAGGACGAAGAGGAGGAAAAGAGGGAGGGAAGAAGGAAGAAGAAAAGGAAAGAGAAAAGAAGGAGGGAGGGAGGGAAGGAAGACAGGAAGGAAAACCAAACGUCGAGGUAGCACUGUGUGUUUGGAUUUCUUGCUUUACUGAAGUAUUACCUUCAUCAGAAGCAGAUGGACUGAAUCACGUCAAAGUCUACCUAGGCAGGAAGCAUUGUUUUAAUUUACCCAGGUCACGGCAAACAUAUUGUCAUUCAGCAUGUGAAACUGUUUGAACUUACAAGGAGUAACCCAGCAACAGCAAUUACCCCACGUGUCCGUUGUGCUCUGAUGAUACAAACGCAACUGGAAUGGAGUCUCAUAAUUUCACAAGGUGACAAAACAUUGAAUUCUGAUGUUUCACCUCCACCUGCGAAUGAGCAGGGAGGUGCUGAGAGGCCAGCUGAAUACACAAAUUCCUUGGGCCCAUGGGCACUGUACAGAGGCCGGCUGCACUGGGGCAAGCUUGCCCUCCUCUCAACCUCAGGCCGGCAGCCAAUGCAGAGCAGCCCCACCGCGGGCUUUUGUCUGCUGAGAGCACACCCCCUGCAUUUCUUAUCAGAUUUACUGUGACAAGGACCCGGAGAAAAGCAAGAUGCUGGUAAGAGCUCAUCAAUUCAGACCCCACUAUUCAGAAAUUUGGAUUUAUUUUUUUGUCACGGAGAACUAGAACUGAUGUGAAUCUUGGCACUAUCCUUGAAAAAAAAUCAUUCAUAAUAACACAACAAUAAUAUAUAACAUUUACUGAGUUCUGACUCUGAACGAGGUACUGUCUGGAGUGCUCUUCGUGGAUGUCUCAUUUAAUCUUCAAAGCAACACUGUGAGGAAGGUCCUAUUAUUCUCUCCAUUUUGCAGGCGAUUACUUUGAGGCACAGAGAGGUCAAGGCCUGCCCAAGGUCACACAGCUAAUGAAUGGGAGAGCCUGGAUUCAGAACCCCAGCAGUCUGAUUGAUGCCAGAGCCAUAUUCUCAAUCACACUUUAAAAGGCAACUCCCAGCUAGGUCAAGAAUUCAGAUUGUUUCUAUGGACCUGAAAAUCAUUUUAACAGUACCCAUUUCUGUUGUUAAAAAAAAAAAAAAAAAGACAAGACAGUGACCCAAUCGAUGAUUCUUAUCCAUUCAUUAAGUCAAAGUUGCUCCUUGACCAUCCUGUUAGCCCUUAUUUCAUGCAUGUGAAAUGAAUAAAACUUCAUUUUGUUCAAAAAGACCCUUGGAUUCAGACUUUCUAUGCUUUUAGGUGGGCUUUCUUAUUAUUAUUCAAAGUCACUGAGGUUUUUCUCAAAGACUUCGGAGACUAAACUAAUCACAGCUGCCUUUGAG